UCUACUGUGUCCAGCGGUGGACUGGCCAUCUGGCAUGCCGGGCAUCAUCCCGGUGGGCUGUUAAACCAGUGUGGGCCGGUCCGGCCUGAUAUGGUUUUUUUUGUUUGUUUGUUUGUUUUUCUUCUCUAAAUUCCCUCCAAUUGGCAGCCAAUUGGCUACAGAGGGCUAGCAGUGUGUUACCAGCAUUGCCACAUGUAAUUGGUCUAUUGUUUGUCAAUGCCAGUAAAUCAUGGGCUGACAGGCUCAGAGAGCCCUGACAGUGCUGUCAAUCACUACACGAAGCAAGGUGGGGCCGGGUUGGGACCUUGAUGGGCGGACGGGACAGGCUGCUGCUGAACCAGUAGUAACUUUAGUUGAUAUGAUAUAUUUGAGGAGUUGUUCUCCCUCUGUUCUAUAUGUGGACCUGUUCUCUCAUUGGGGACCACUGUUAGAAUUUGACCACUUGACACUGAGGAGUUGUUCCCCCUCCGUCCAUGUUCGAGGACUUGCUCUCUCUCUCUGCCUCCAUUCUCUGCCUUUACUGCACCAAAGUUUGGCUGUUGACUCUCCUGUAGUAUGAGACAUCCUGACCUGCUAGAAGUUCUUCUAUGGUGCUUGCGUCAUCCAUCAUAUCUGAGACCUUCAUCUUGACUUUAGGUAGCACCCACCCUGAAUUUGGUUCUGGGUUCUUCCCUUUAGUCUCGUCCCACCCCUUCUGUGGUGAUUUGACACUAUAAUGAAUAAAGAUUGAUUGGUUGAUUGCUAUAGCUGUAAAUUUUAAUCCUUGACUCUCCUUUGUAAUGUGUGAGAGAAGACACUGCAAAAUUUGCUGACUUCUACGUGGUGUCCGCUGAUAAUGUAGUGGGCUGGUCUGGACAGAAAAUGCCAGGGCUGAAUUUUUGUCCCAGUCCACCCCUGACUGUGUCUCACAAGAAUGUCCUCACACUGGGAUAAUAUUACAUAUAACUGGCUAAUAUGUUUCAAUAACUAAUUAGCUGAAUAAUUCACAGUUUUGGGUAGGUGAGAGUGAUUUGCGUCCCUACGAGGUUUGCUUGUUAGCUUGCAUGGUAGACUUUCAUCUGUGUUAUCUGAAAUAAAUGUUGUUGUUUUUU